rnacentral:tRNA from 1 species
GCAUCUCGCUUACACCGAGAAAUGCCCGUGAAAACCGAGCCAUUCCGAG